UUCCCUACUUGUCUUCCCUUUAUACCAAACCAAAGGAAGGGAUGAUCUUCUUCGAAGUGUACAAAUGUGUUCAAAUUCCCUGAAAGAACUGGGGUCUUCUUCCGUGCAGCAGUUUGGCCUUGAGUUGCUUGAAUUGAAAGUUCACCCUGUUUCCGUUCUAGUUUAUUUUGACUUAUUUUCUAAAGUACACCUCUGGGGCAAUCUGCACGGUCCCCUCUUGGCAACGUGGCCUCAGUAGCAACAGCUGAAUUGAUAGAAAUGUGAGUGUAGAGUGUGCACAAAUAGAAUACCCCAAACUGUUGAGAGGGCGCUGGUCCAGAAACUGAUAGUACUGAAGAGGAAACUGGGCUAUGAGUAUGCUUAAAGCUGCAGCACCUGCAUGUCCAGCUGGAGGA